GGAGGUCAUACAUGUCUACAAUUUAUCUGUUCUUGACCCCAUUCCUAAUAGAGAAAGGAGCAUCUUCAACUGUGAAACAAAACUACAUCCCGAAAGAUGUAUCUAGACUAAACCUACAUGUGCUGAAUGAAAGGCACUAAACUGCAGUUCUAUUAUAGCCAGUGACCUUGGAAGGCGCGCAUCCGCUUGCGUCCAUUUAUUGUGAGCCCACCGGAUGGCUGGAAACAAACCUCACUUACAACUCAUCCAAAAUGCAGUCAGUAAAAGAUAAAAAAAAAACGAGGCUUGUCUAAACGGAUGUCUGAAUCACCUCGAGAGCUUCUCGAUCGUCCUCUCGUAGUCCAACAAGCUGGAAGGACAGUCUCACAGAUUCAGUGGUUUUCACAGCUUUUUGAUGAAUCCACAAAGUUGUGUUUACUCUUCACACACGGCACCGAACAGACAAACCUUGGCGGACCCAACACAAAAACAAACAAGAGACACAGACGUGGGGGAUGAUGUAGCUUGCGAGGCAGUCUCGGCCCGACUGAAUCCAACCUGCUAUUGCUAGCCUCCCCCGUACCUUCCACUUCUUUCUACCUCCACCGUCUCCGCCUUUCCCCACAAUUCGAAACCCAUCUCUUUCCCUUGAUGAACUCGAACUCAAAACCUGUAUUGUCUGCGUGUCGGGCAUUGGUCCGUCUCCAGUGUCGAUUACCAUCCCAAGUGACGUGCCAUUAUCAUCAAGCUACCUACCUUUGUCUCGAGCCAGAUUGUUUACACUAACCUUGAGGAUGAAUGCAAAAAAAAAGAA